GGCGCAUUCGUCUAGUGGUCAGGACACUUGGUUCUCAGCCAGGUAACAGGGGUUCGAUUCCCCUAUGCGCUA
rnacentral:tRNA from 3 species